UACCAGCACCCCGAGUGGUCGGGACGAUUAUUGGGCUUAAAGCAUCCGUAGCCGGUCAUGCAAGUCUUCCGUUAAAUCCAGCCGCUCAACGGUUGGGCUGCGGAGGAUACUACGUGGCUAGGAGGCGGGAGAGGCAAGCGGUACUCAGUGGGUAGGGGUAAAAUCCUUUGAUCCAUUGAAGACCACCAGUGGCGAAGGCGGCUUGCCAGAACGCGCUCGACGGUGAGGGAUGAAAGCUGGGGGAGCAAACCGG
rnacentral:rRNA from 1 species